GGUGAUGAAGGUGUAGUAUGACAGGUGAUGAAGGUGUAGUAUGACAGGUGAUGAAGGUGUAGUAUGACAGGUGAUGAAGGUGUGAGUAUGACAGGUGAUGAAGGUGUAGUAUGACAGGUGAUGAAGGUGUGAGUAUGACAGGUGAUGAAGGUGUAGUAUGACAGGUGAUGAAGGUGAUGAAGGUGAUGAAGGUGUGAGGGUGGAGCUGGAUGCUUCUUCAGUUUCCUGACUCUCCCGGCUGCUUCUUCUUUCCCUCUGGUACGGUUCCCAGGACGAAGGGAGCCUUGAUGUUCA